AAAAAUUUAGUUAAAUAAUAACAUUAGUUUGUCAAACUAAAAUUGUUUUAAUUAAGACAAUUUUUA
rnacentral:tRNA from 1 species